UACGUAGGGGGCAAGCGUUGUCCGGAUUUAUUGGGCGUAAAGAGCGUGUAGGCGGUUUGGUAGGUCCGUUGUGAAAACUCGAGGCUCAACCUCGAGACGCCGAUGGAAACCAUCAGACUAGAGUCCGGAAGAGGAGAGUGGAAUUCCUGGUGUAGCGGUGAAAUGCGCAGAUAUCAGGAAGAACACCGGUGGCGAAAGCGGCUCACUGGGUCUCUUCUGACGCUGAGGCACGAAAGCUAGGGGAGCGAACGGG
rnacentral:rRNA from 1 species